rnacentral:lncRNA from 1 species
CCUCCCUGCUGAUGAACGCCCACUCUGCUCCCAGAUGCACACCUGUCCUGAAGACACCCGGUUCUCAUGCUCUUCUCUGCAGCACCUGAAUUGGGCAUUCCUGGGUAAAGCUGUUUAAGUUACUUUCACUUUUAUCCACUUGUUUCCGUUAUUUCAACCAUGCAUGUCCCUUGUGUAUGUAGGAUAAAGGUGUCUAAGAAUAAAGGUCCAUGAUUUAAAGUUUUUUCCUCUUCUUUCCCUGUCCUGACCACCUGAUCAUAAACUUGUAGAAAUAAAGUGGAUCUCAUGUUGUGUAUCUUUCGAUGCAUCUAGAGAGAUGGUUAUAUUCAUAUAAAUAAACGGGCACAUCCAGCACACUAUUUCUAGUUGUCGUCUGCUAAUAAGUUUACAUCUGGUAAAUGCCAGUGUUUCAUCAAAUGGC